rnacentral:tRNA from 1 species
GCCUCCUUAGCUCAGUGGUAGAGCAACGCUCUUGUAAAGCGUAGGUCGUCAGUUCAAUCCUGACAGGAGGCU